rnacentral:rRNA from 1 species
AGAGUUUCAUCCUGGCUCAGGACGAACGCUGGCGGCGCGCCUAACACAUGCAAGUCGAACGAGCGAGAGAGAGCUUGCUUUCUCAAGCGAGUGGCGAACGGGUGAGUAACGCGUGAGGAACCUGCCUCAAAGAGGGGGACAACAGUUGGAAACGACUGCUAAUACCGCAUAAGCCCACAGCUCGGCAUCGAGCAGAGGGAAAAGGAGCAAUCCGCUUUGAGAUGGCCUCGCGUCCGAUUAGCUAGUUGGUGAGGUAAUGGCCCACCAAGGCGACGAUCGGUAGCCGGACUGAGAGGUUGAACGGCCACAUUGGGACUGAGACACGGCCCAGACUCCUACGGGAGGCAGCAGGGGGGAAUAUUGCACAAUGGGGGAAACCCUGAUGCAGCGACGCCGCGUGGAGGAAGAAGGUCUUCGGAUUGUAAACUCCUGUUGUUGAGGAAGAUAAUGACGGUACUCAACAAGGAAGUGACGGCUAACUACGUGCCAGCAGCCGCGGUAAAACGUAGGUCACAAGCGUUGUCCGGAAUUACUGGGUGUAAAGGGAGCGCAGGCGGGAAGACAAGUUGGAAGUGAAAUCUAUGGGCUCAACCCAUAAACUGCUUUCAAAACUGUUUUUCUUGAGUAGUGCAGAGGUAGGCGGAAUUCCCGGUGUAGCGGUGGAAUGCGUAGAUAUCGGGAGGAACACCAGUGGCGAAGGCGGCCUACUGGGCACCAACUGACGCUGAGGCUCGAAAGUGUGGGUAGCAAACAGGAUUAGAUACNCUGGUAGUCCACACCGUAAACGAUGAUUACUAGGUGUUGGAGGAUUGACCCCUUCAGUGCCGCAGUUAACACAAUAAGUAAUCCACCUGGGGAGUACGACCGCAAGGUUGAAACUCAAAGGAAUUGACGGGGGCCCGCACAAGCAGUGGAGUAUGUGGUUUAAUUCGACGCAACGCGAAGAACCUUACCAAGUCUUGACAUCCCUUGACGAACAUAGAAAUAUGUUUUCUCUUCGGAGCAAGGAGACAGGUGGUGCAUGGUUGUCGUCAGCUCGUGUCGUGAGAUGUUGGGUUAAGUCCCGCAACGAGCGCAACCCUUACUGUCAGUUACUACGCAAGAGGACUCUGGCAGGACUGCCGUUGACAAAACGGAGGAAGGUGGGGAUGACGUCAAAUCAUCAUGCCCUUUAUGACUUGGGCUACACACGUACUACAAUGGCGUUAAACAAAGAGAAGCAAGACCGCGAGGUGGAGCAAAACUCAGAAACAACGUCCCAGUUCGGACUGCAGGCUGCAACUCGCCUGCACGAAGUCGGAAUUGCUAGUAAUCGUGGAUCAGCAUGCCACGGUGAAUACGUUCCCGGGCCUUGUACACACCGCCCGUCA